rnacentral:rRNA from 1 species
CCUACGGGAGGCAGCAGUGGGGAAUCUUGCGCAAUGGGCGAAAGCCUGACGCAGCCAUGCCGCGUGAAUGAUGAAGGUCUUAGGAUUGUAAAAUUCUUUCACCGAGGACGAUAAUGACGGUACUCGGAGAAGAAGCCCCGGCUAACUUCGUGCCAGCAGCCGCGGUAAUACGAAGGGGGCUAGCGUUGCUCGGAAUUACUGGGCGUAAAGGGAGCGUAGGCGGAUAGUUUAGUCAGAGGUGAAAGCCCAGGGCUCAACCUUGGAAUUGCCUUUGAUACUGGCUAUCUUGAGUACGGAAGAGGUAUGUGGAACUCCGAGUGUAGAGGUGAAAUUCGUAGAUAUUCGGAAGAACACCAGUGGCGAAGGCGACAUACUGGUCCGUUAACUGACGCUGAGGCUCGAAAGCUGGGGAGCAAACAGGAUUAGAUACCCUGGUAGUCCCACGCUGUAACGAUAGAGUGCUAGUUGUCGGUCGAUGCAUGCAUGUCGGUGGACGCAGCUAACGACAUAAGACGACGUCCGCCGUCGGGAGGUACGGUCGGCGAAGAAGUUAAACGUUAACGAAAGUAAAGUUAGUUACGGCGUUGAGACGNGCCGACGGACGACGACGAGGGAGGAGG